GGCAAACCUCGCAGAAAACGUGGCCGCAGCUGAUUUUUGUUUUAGAUUUAGGUCCCUAAGUGGGACCUAACUAGGAGAAAGAGAGCAGCUACUACGGCCAGCAUGAACUCACACGAAUGAUCCAGCUGCCAACAGGUGCAGGGUGUCUUCAGCUGUUCAAUGUUACAUGGGGCACAGUUUUUGAAUCUGAGCUUGACCCUCAUAGCCCUAAAAGAAGUUGUUUUUCUCACCUCUCACUACCAAAGUGGAGCAGUGCCCAUGCAGAGGGUCCUCUGAGAGAUUCCCCCUCCCUUUCCCAAAGGUGGGGAACGGAGCUGGAUGCUCAGUGCUCCAGGCAGGGGCUGCAGCAGGAGCCCCAUCCUCCUGAUUCCUCCUGGGCCAGCAGGUGUGUGGAAAAAGGUUGUGGAUUCCACUCCCUUAAAUUCAGGAAGCCAGGAAGGUUGUUAAUUUGCUGUCACAGCUUUGCUGUGGCAUCUUUCAAUGAGGAAAAAGAGCAAAACAAGGAGUUUUGAUUUUCAUUUCUUAGAAAAAACAAAAACAAAAAACAAACAAACAAACAAAAAAAACCCCGCCACAGUUUGCUAGUUUCCCUUGAUGAAAUUUUUAGGAAAAAAUUCUCUUGCAGACCUAGUUGCAGUGCAGGCUGUAGCUCUGGGUAUGUCAGAGCCACAAACUGCAGAGGAGGAACCUCUGUGUUUUAACUUCGCGAAAGCUACUGCCGCCAAAGUGCUUCCCAAAAGAGAUGCAAUUCAUCUUUUGCUUUAUAGAGUUAAUUAAAAAUCGUGAAGAAGACUGAAAACAUUUCAUCAAAGCAAAGAUAUUUAAUGACUAUUAUUAUAGAUAAAGAACUAAGCACUCUCAAGCUAUAUUGAAGGCUCUGAGGCUCAGUGCUGGUUUGAAUAUAGACCUAAUUAAUAGAGAGAAACAAAAUCAGCUCCUGUAUAAAUUCUAGUGUAGUGCCUGUCCUGGUUUAAAAGCCUAAGCGUAUUGUAAGUGAGAUGAGCUAAGUUUGGCAUUGUGAUGUUGUUAGAAGCCUUACACUAAAUAUCAGCUAAAAUCUGAAACACAACCUUGUAGCAACACUUUGUUAAACUUUUUUUUUUUGGACUUCAUAUACCAUACGGUUGUAACACAUAUUUCCUUCUUUUCCACCAUCAAAGAUACUUUUAAAAGACAGGUUGUGAAUGACUGAUCUAUGAAAGUAAAGCUAAUAAAACUUAUUUACUGGUCAUUCCAAGUGUCAGCUCUAAAGUCUCAGAAUUUUUAAUGCAGGACACACCUCAGUGAGUAGCUUUAUAAGAUUUUAUUUUGAUUGAUUUGGUCUGUAGAACAUUGCUUUUUGUCUCAACUUUAUAUCAAUUUUAUGGAUUUUCACAGCUGUAUUUUCAUUCCUGUAGUGGAAAUGUAAGUCAACUCAUAGGUCAUUUCCUCGCUAAUGAAAACAACAAGUGAGAAGAUAGAAAAAAGAAAGAAAGCAGUGCCUUUAAAACAAUAAUUGUUUGCAGAUAUUCCAGCUUUCACUACCUUUUAGACUAGCAGUGGGUCUGGAAAGAGAAGUAGGAAACCAAACCAUAAUAUUCUGCUAUCACAGUGCUCUAGAAACCUGUUCAAGUUUCAUGUUUUUAUAUGUAACUACUUCCACUUCCUCCUUACGCUACUGCUGCUUUGUCAAGCUAAUUAUCUGGAUUUUUAACCACAGUUUUUGACUUCUCAUUGUAUGGUACUGUAGUUACACUGCUAGAUGUACAUAAACUAGGUAAAUUAAAGCAUAAAGAUAUAUGCAACCAAGCUGCAAUAAGUGAAAUGGAAAAUUUAGUC